rnacentral:lncRNA from 1 species
UACAAGGAAGGACCAUCGGCUAUUCGCCCGCAAGUCGCGCUUUCUACUGGCUUUUUUUCGUGUAAAAUCGCGUGUUUCAACCUGCGACCUUGCCCUUGCGCGUAGCCUCCUCUACCACUCCACCUAUCACUCACUUGUGUCUAUAUUAGAGUUUAGUUCCCCACAUAUUAUCCCAAACCGAGCAUAUAUUGAUUAUUUGAGGCCC